AGAGUUUGAUCAUGGCUCAGAAUCAACGCUGGCGGCGUGCCUAACACAUGCAAGUCGGACGCGAAAGACUCCGCAAGGGGUCAAGUAGAGUGGCGGACGGGUGAGUAACACGUGGGUGACCUGCCUGGUGGAGGGGGAUAACUUUUCGAAAGGGAAGCUAAUACCGCAUGAGCUCCUGGUAGCAAUGUCAGGAGGAAAGCCGAAAGGCGCCACUGGAGGGGCCCGCGCUCGAUUAGCUAGUUGGUGAGGUAAGGGCUCACCAAGGCGACGAUCGAUAGCCGGUCUGAGAGGACGGACGGCCACACUGGAACUGAGACACGGUCCAGACUCCUACGGGAGGCAGCAGUGGGGAAUUUUGCGCAAUGGGCGAAAAAGCCUGACGCAGCAACGCCGCGUGGAGGAUGAGGGUUUUCGGAUCGUAAACUCCUGUCCCCAGGGAAGAAAAAAUGACGGUACCUGGGGAGGAAGCCCCGGCUAACUCCGUGCCAGCCGCUGC
rnacentral:rRNA from 1 species